UACGAGAGGUGCAAGCGUUAUUCGGAAUUAUUGGGCGUAAAGGGUGCGUAGACGGUUUUUUAAGUCUCUUGUUUAAUUCUCCGGCCUAACUGGGGGUCAGCGAGAGAUACUGAGAAACUUGAGGAUGGAAGAGGGAAGUGGAAUUCUCGGAGUAGCGGUUAAAUGCGUAGAUCUCGAGAGGAACACCGAUGGCGAAAGCAGCUUCCUGGUCCAUAUCUGACGUUCAAGCACGAAAGCGUGGGGAGCAAACAGG
rnacentral:rRNA from 1 species